AUGGAGAUGCUUAGUAAUAAUGUUUUGCCAUGUUUAAUCUGUACUAGCAUGCCAUGCUUUUUCUUGCCAUGUUCUUGCACUAUAUCAUCUUUGUUUCAUGCCUUCAACAUGUCAACAUGUUAUUUCUGCUCAUGUGUGCCCUGUUUUUCACCAAGUCAUAAUCGUUGUUAUCAAGUUGCUUUUUGCAUUGAUCAUCUUGGAUUAAUCUUGAUGCCUAUGAACCUGAACCUUAAAUGUUAUUUGAAGCAUGUUAUCGGUACCUUAAGUGCAUGUCAAGUUUGCGCUCAUAUGAUUCCUGUAUCAUGUUGUUUCCUUGUUUGCAAAGUGCUUAAUUACUGUUUUAGGCAGUUUGUAUUUGAACCUUGUAUGGAGUGUAUGUGUUGA
rnacentral:rRNA from 1 species